CAGCCGCCGCGGUAAUACGAAGGGUGCAAGCGUUACUCGGAAUUACUGGGCGUAAAGCGUGCGUAGGUGGUGGUUUAAGUCCGUUGUGAAAGCCCUGGGCUCAACCUGGGAGUUGCAGUGGAUACUGGGUCACUAGAGUGUGGUAGAGGAUAGUGGAAUUUCCGGUGUAGCAGUGAAAUGCGUAGAGAUCGGAAGGAACAUCUGUGGCGAAGGCGACUAUCUGGGCCAACACUGACACUGAGGCACGAAAGCGUGGGGAGCAAACAGGAUUAGAUACCCCGGUAGUCCCUGUCUCUUAUAC
rnacentral:rRNA from 1 species